rnacentral:snoRNA from 1 species
AGUGGAGGGAUAAGAAAGUGAAUCCAAAUGAAUUGUGGAUCUUGCUGAUACUCCCCUCCUACAGAAACUGAUAGAGGAACAGGUCUGACAAAUUAGGCAUUGUAAAGACCUACUUAAUCUAUCAACACUA